rnacentral:rRNA from 1 species
GAUGAACGCUGGCGGCGUGCCUAAUACAUGCAAGUCGAACGGAGUGGCGCACGGGUGAGUAAUGUAUAGCUAAUCUGCCCGACACUAAAAGACACCAAUGGGAAACUGAUGCUAAUACUCUAUAGUGUAGGAUGUUGCUAUUUUGUAUCCGCUGGUUGGUAGGGUAAUGGCUGACCAAGGCUAUGACGGAUAACUCGUCUGAGAGUAGGAUCAGUCACACUGGAAUUGACACACGGUCCAGACUUCUACGGGAGGCAGCAGUAGGGAAUAGUGCGCAAUGGGGGAAACUCUGAAGCAGUAUCGCCGCGUGGAGCAUGAUACUUUUCGGAGCGUAAACUCCUUUUGUUAGGGAAGCGGUACCUAACGAAGAAGCACCGGCUAACUCCGUGCCAGCAGCCGCGGUAAUAC